CUGCAAAGUCGAGGUAGUGCGUGAGGACUGACUCAAAGCACAGAGGCUCAUGGUGUCCUGGAGAUGAUGGCAACAGGCUGUAACUAUCUUGGAUACAGGAUCCUACCACUUCCUUACCUGGAUGGCUGUGACAAAAUUGGUAAAACAUAAAAGCCUCUUGGAUCCUGCUUAUGGAAUAUCUCUUCCUGCUGGCUGCAAAAGACUUGGACCAGGUCAAACCAUAGACCCUCAAAAGUCCAGAGGUUUUUGGCCAGAGUUCAAGACAAGAUCCUGGGUUUAGUGGAUUUGCACCAAUACAGCGAUUUUCGUGUUCUUCUGACACAGGAAAUCAAAGAGACGUUCUCUUGUGAAGACGGAUGUAAUGAGCAAGGCAUCAUGCAUGAGUGAUUUCUGCUUUACAUCCUGAUUCAAGCUAAACAUUUAAUGAUGAAGCCUAGAGUUCAGAAAUUGAAGGAUGGAAAAAUAAAAACCCCAAACUUGUG
rnacentral:lncRNA from 1 species